GCCGAAACACGCGCACCUGCGUGAUGACGUCAGGAAGCCAAACGACGCAAAAAAAAAAUGACCGCGAAACUUCGACGAGCGAUUCCUCACAAACUAGAUAGUUUCUAGUCAAAGUGCGACCGAAAAGUGUGCGUGUUUCGCCAAAGUGAAUCCCAACAACGUGAGACGUAAAUGCCUCGAUGGAGCUGGACCGGUGGAUCCGGAGCCUUCAGGUUUCCUCCUGCAGAAUACAGCGACUGGGACCAUUCUGCGCCCCUCCUGCUGGAAGGAAACAAACAAAUGGUGCACAAAGAUUUCUCCGCGGAAGUCGAGGCCCGCGGUACGCAGGGCCGUUACUCUACUGAAGAAUCUCCUCCCGUCGCCGUUUUUGCUUCUUUAUGAACGGAGCGCGAACGAGGACAUCGGAUGUCCUUUUGUCUCUGAGCCUCCUCCCGAUCAGCUCUGCUCUCCGUGUCUCUCACCACGAGACGGACAACACUACGCAAACGUUCAGCAGCUCCAGCUCUCGGCGCCAUUCACAGGAUGUGGGAGGUUUCCGAUGUUGGAGGACGGACC
ensembl:lncRNA